UCCGGUUGAUCCUGCCGGACCCCACUGCUAUCGGGGUGGGACUAAGACAUGCUAGAAGUGCGCCUCCAAGCCACGGUGGAGGCGCGGCGCACAGCUCAGUAACACGUGGCUAACCUACCCUUGGGACAGGGACAACCCCGGGAAACUGGGGCUAAUCCCCGAUAGGUGAGGACUCCUGGAAUGGGUCCUCGCUGAAAGGGCGUCUAGACCAUGCUUCUAGACGCUGCCCAAGGAUGGGGCCGCGACCGAUCAGGUUGUUGGUGAGGUAACGGCUCACCAAGCCUAAGACCGGUACGGGCCGUGAGAGCGGGAGCCCGGAGAUGGACACUGAGACAAGGGUCCAGGCCCUACGGGGCGCAGCAGUCGCGAAACCUCCGCAAUACGCGAAAGCGUGACGGGGCCACCCCGAGUGCCGUCCGCUGAGGACGGCUUUUCCCCAGUGUAGACAGCUGGGGGAAUAAGGGGAGGGCAAGUCGGGUGUCAGCCGCCGCGGUAAUACCCGCUCCCCGAGUGGUGGGGACGCUUAUUGGGCCUAAAGCAUCCGUAGCCGGCUGGACAAGUCCCCUGUUAAAUCCAGCGAUUUAAUCGCUGGACUGCGGGGGAUACUGUCCAGCUAGGGGGCGGGAGAGGCCGGCGGUAUUCCCGGGGUAGGGGUGAAAUCUUAUAAUCCCGGGAGGACCACCAGUGGCGAAGGCUGCCGGCUGGAACGCGCCCGACGGUGAGGGAUGAAAGCUGGGGGAGCGAACCGGAUUAGAUACCCGGGUAGUCCCAGCUGUAAACGAUGCGGGCUAGGUGUUGGCACGGCUACAAGCCGUGUCAGUGCCGCAGGGAAGCCGUUAAGCCCGCCGCCUGGGGAGUACGGCCGCAAGGCUGAAACUUAAAGGAAUUGGCGGGGGAGCACCACAAGGGGUUAUGCUUGUGGUUUAAUUGGAGUCAACGCCGGA
rnacentral:rRNA from 1 species